AAGGCAAUGAAAGAGCAGAUGAGCUCGCCA
rnacentral:sRNA from 1 species